rnacentral:rRNA from 1 species
CAGAACGAACGCUGGCGGCGCGCUUAAGCAUGCAAGUCGAACGGCAAGAGGUAGCAAUACCUCCUAGAGUGGCGGACUGGUGAGUAACACGUGGGUGACAUACCCUUCAGAUGGGGAUAGCUAUUAGAAAUAGUAGAUAAUACCGAAUACGAGCACAGGGGUUAGAGAUCUGUGAGGAAAGGAGCUAAGGCUCCGCUGAAGGAAUGGCCUGCGGCCCAUUAGCUAGUUGGUGAGGUAAGAGCCCACCAAGGCGAUGAUGGGUAUCCGGCCUUAGAGGGUGAACGGACACAUUGGGACUGAGAUACGGCCCAGACUCCUACGGGAGGCAGCAGCUAAGAAUAUUCCGCAAUGGACGAAAGUCUGACGGAGCGACGCCGCGUGGAUGAAGAAGGCCGGAAGGUUGUAAAAUCCUUUUGAAACUGAAGAAUAAGCGUUGUAGGGAAUGACAGCGUGGUGACAGUAGGUUUUGAAUAAGCAACGGUUAAUUACGUGCCAGCAGCCGC